GUGGGGAAUAUUGGACAAUGGGGGAAACCCUGAUCCAGCAAUGCCGCGUGAGUGAAGAAGGCCUUAGGGUUGUAAAACUCUUUCACCCGUGAAGAUGAUGACGGUAGCGGGAAAAGAAGCUCCGGCUAACUCCGUGCCAGCAGCCGCGGUAAGACGGAGGGGGCUAGCGUUGUUCGGAAUUACUGGGCGUAAAGCGCGCGUAGGCGGUCCGUUUAGUUAGGCGUGAAAGGCCUGGGCUCAACCCGGGAACUGCGUUUAAAACUGGCGGGCUAGAGUCCGGGAGAGGGUGGCGGAAUUCCCAGUGUAGAGGUGAAAUUCGUAGAUAUUGGGAAGAACACCAGUGGCGAAGGCGGCCACCUGGUCCGGUACUGACGCUGAGGUGCGAAAGCGUGGGGAGCAAACAGG
rnacentral:rRNA from 1 species